rnacentral:lncRNA from 1 species
GUCUUACUUAACCUCCUCAGGCUAGAAGGUGCCAUGCUGUGUUUCUUAUAUAAACUUUGGAGUCACUCAAAAUGCUCAUCAUAAUCUUCAAAUGAUGAUACUUAGAGUCUUGGAUGUCUCAGGAUCUCCUGUGAGUUUAUGGAUCUGUGCAUUUUCUAAAUACUAACUAAGCCCUGAGAAAAUUGCAAUGUCCAUCCUGCAUUUCACUCCAUCUUCGCCUGACAAUUUGGAAUAAGGUUCCUUUGUCUAUGUAUUAAUCCCGCU